CAUCCCGGUAAAAGCCCCAGCUUUUCCGAACACUACUAUUCUUCGCUCCCCUUCCCCUCCCCUGCUCUUUUUUUUCCCUUAGACGCUCGGGUUCCUGGGAGUUGUAGUUCUCCCCGCCAAGAGUGGACGCGUUGAGGAGACCAAAGACAAAGAGACCGGCGAGACUACAUCUCCCAGAGGGCGGAGAGCGCAGGGGUGGAGAGAGGGCGGGAGUGGUAUUCUAACCCUGCGGCUGCUGGGGACCCCUGGUGGGGAUGAAGGCUGCUUCUGUCCAAGUGUGUGCUGAUUCACGCCUCUCCACCCUACGCCAUUCCCCCCACUCCGCCCCGCCAUUCCUUCGGGCAACUGGGAGGCAGCAAGAGGCCUCAAUCGUAGGGUAAAUUUCUUUCUUUUUUUUUUUUAGCAGACCUGAGGGUUAGGAAAAUGGAGCGUGUGGGAGAGGAAGAGAGGACACAUCGACUGACUAUCCAAACUCUGUGUACAGAGUCUGUCCAGAGGCCCCAUCCUCAUGGGAUAUAGCUAAAUUAAGAGGUGUCCACCUCAUCAAGAUUCCAGUUCCCCUCUGCACCUUGAGGUUCUUGAGCUUGACUAGAAAUUAUCAAAGGACAAAUUUCUCUAUGAUGAAUGUGAGCCAGGCGUGGUGGUGCAUGCCUGUAAUCCCAGUACUUGGGAGGCUAAAGCAAGUAGAUCCUUUCAAGGCUCACAUCUAUAAUCCUAGCACUCAGGAGGCUGAGGCAAGGGGAUCAUUGCGAAUUUGAGACCAGCCUGGGCUACAAAGUGAGCUGAAGGCCAGCCUGAACUGCAUAGUGAGACCUUGUCUCAAAAAGAAUUUUUAAAAAGAUGGGGACCUGAAAAGAACAUAGAAGGGGUUGGGGAUUUAGCUCAGCAGUAUAAGCGCCUGCCUUGCAAGUGCGUGGUCGUGAGUUCGAUCCCUGGUACCAAUUAAAAAAAAAAAAGGUGGGGACCAAUAAAAUCUAAUGUUAAAAAAAAAAUACCAGCUGGACAUACUGGUUAAUUUCCAGGAAAGAUGCAACUGUCUGCAGGCUGACUUUGGAGAGCCCCUUCUUCCUUUCUAGAGGAGUAUACUAAAGAUUCAAUUCAGCGACCAAGAGAGCCUCUUUGCAGCCGAACACUGGGGACUGUCUUUGGCGGCUGAUUGACCACUUCUCAUUGUAGUUAUAUCCUCUGAGGGCAUGGUGGCCUAUGCCAGUGAUUCCAGCAUUUGAGAGACUGAGGCAAGAGGAUCACCAUGUGUUUGAGACCAGCCUGAACUCUGUAGUGGGUUAAAGGCCAGCCUGAACUGCAUAGUGAGACCCUGUUUCAAAAAACAAUAAUUUUUUCAUUUCAGGGCAGAGAGGAAGAGGUUCUGAAAAAUUGCUCCAUAGAGCUUGGUAACAUUUCCAUUCAGCCCUUAAAGGAAUGUAGGAAUUGCGAGCUGACAGAGAUAGGCAGCAAGACUAGGAGGUAACUUCCUCCCAGCCGUGUUUAGGGUAAGCAGUGUCUCUGGUGAUGGGUAUUAGGGAUGGAGUCAGGGGCCAAACACAAGGGGCACAGAAUGGCAGGCUAAGGAUUCAGGUGGAUCCUGUUUGUUUUUCUGUUUUAUUUUGUUCCUGCAUUGCCAGGGCUUGAUCCCAGGACCUUGCACAUGCUAGGCAAGUGCUAUACCACUAGCCACACUCCCAGUACAGGAAAUAGUUGUUUUUUGGGGGUAGGAGAGGUUGUUCCUUUGUUUGUUUGUUUGUCCCAGCUGGUCUCAGACUUGCAGUGAUCCUCCUGUCCGCAGCCUCCUGAGUGCUGGGAUUGUAGGUAUGCACCACCACCAGGCUAGAAAAUAGAUUUUUGUUCUGAAACAAACAGAAAACAUGUGAGAUAUUUUAACAGUGGCAAAAACAAACAACCUUUUGGCCUCUUGGCCAAGAUCAAGUGUGAAAACAAUGGCAAAAAUUUAUCAGGUCUGCAUUUUGUCUUAUCGCUGACUGCUCAGUGCUUGUCACAGUACCGGGAACAUAGUAAGCACAUGGAACACAUGGAAUAAGUGAAUGAAUGAAUGCACUUUGGGGAGACUGAUCUGGCAAGAGUGUAGGAGAUGGACAGAGGGGCCAGUCUAGAAAUAGUUCUCUUCUCCUCCUCCAACACAGGAUCUGGUCUGGCCCCUCUUCGCUUACCACACCACCAGCAAAAUGCAAUCCUGCUGGUGAAUAAACCCUCCUACUUCCUUCUGUCUCUUGCAGGAGCCUUUGCCAAGUCAUUCCUCUUUCCUCUUGCUUCCUCCCUGUAGGCCAGACCUGAGCCAUGCUGGCCUAGAGCAUCCGGAGUCAACCCUAGCUGUCUACAGGUGCAUGAAACAAAUCAGUGAUUCAGGCCCCAGAUGCUAAAUCUCAGGAACAUUUCAAGCCACCUAUCUGACCUCUACACCCCAUUCCUUCCCCCGUUAGGCUACUGCACUUGGAAAAAAGAAAGGUAAAAAAAGCAGCCCAAGACAAACUUGUUUGGGAAAAGUGAAGCAGAUGGCAAGUAAAGGAUGCUUUAGAGCUAAAGAGGAAUGACAUCCGGAGACUCCACAUGCAGGCUUCCUUCCAUUGGUGCAGGAGAUAGCUGACCCUGCCUUCCUUGCCUUUGAUUUCUUAAGGCUCUGUGUUUAAAACCGCAGCUGUCCAGCAGCCCCUGUGAUUAGAGUGCUGCUUCAGAAGCUGCAAUAUGACACAGUAAAGGGGCUAAUGGCCUGGAUUCUCCCUUGACUGCCUAAUGGCGUGUCAAGACACCUGGAGCUGGGAGUGAGAGAAUUAGCAUGCUGGGUUCUGCCUUUCCCUAUGCCAACUCCAUGUGCAAAACCUGUCUUCCCACUAGAUCUCAGUUUCCCCACCUUUAAAAUGAGAAUUGAAAUAAAUGAGCACUAAGUGCCCCGCCCAACGGUGAUGAGUCAUCAUGCUAGAUUAGCCUUGUUCUGAAAUGAAAGCUAUUGGCAUUCUUUAUAGAAAUGACCAGAGGGGAUCGGUGACUGCAGUCUGGGAGAUGAUCAAGGCCCAAAGGACAAGAGGCUCAGAGUCACUACUGUUUUUAAGGCAAGAAUGCUGAAACCCAGAGGUUCUGUGAUCAGCCAAAAUAAUCACACGUCCAGUGACUAAUAGAACUAGACAGACCUUCUUGACUCCUGGGAGCAAAGACACCCUUCUCCAUCCCAACUGUGAGGCUCUGCCUUGCUUGGCAACUGCUCAGGAAAAAAGAAGACUUUGCCCAUUGGUGGCCAGCCUAGCACAAGGACACCCUCCAUCCCCUUCAGUGUUAGAGGAUGUGACCUUUUAAAUGUAUCAUCUCUGGCUGAGUUGGCAGAGGAGCAGGCCAGUCAGGGACAUCAGCAUCUUGCUGUUUCUGUGCAGUUAUAAAUCACCACAGCCCCAUCCCCUGGACUGCUGGCUUCUUCCUGUGGCUGAAAAGCUCCCUGAUUAGUGCAGAGCUAGCCACAGCAGCAGCAGCUCUUCUGAAACUGAAAUUGACCCACAUUGCUCCCCACCCUAUCCUCUGGGAAUACUUCCUCAUCACUGCCCUAGCAGGCUGGCCUUGAGUAGAAGCAGAGAACACCAUGGAUUCAGAAGCAAGGGAUGGUGGGAGAAUCUUAGCAACCUGCCUCUCUGCCUGAGGAUCUUCGACCAGUGGAGGAGGCCUCUGAUGGGAAGUGGACACAAAAGCCAGGCUCUGACUUUGCCAUUGAACUUGCUGGGUGACCUUGGCCAAAUCACUUUACUUCUCUGGAUCUCAGACUAUGAAUCUAUAAAAUAAAGAAAUGGGAUGGUUGCUUUUUAAAAUCACUCUAAGUCAGGCAUGGUGAUUUACAUCUGAAGUGCCAGCUACUGGGGGUUACUGGGGCCCCAAAUGUGCUAUAAACUCUUUCCAGGUCCUUGUUAUCCUGAUCAAAUAAUUGAAGAAGACAAAUGAAAAACAUAGCAAAAUUUAGUCAGGCAUAGUGGUGCAUGCCUGAAAUCCCAGCACAAUGGAGACUGAGGCAAGAUGAUUGUUGCAAGUUUGAGACCAGCCUGGGCUACAAAGUCAGCUCAAGACCAGCCUGAACUGCAUACUGAAAUCCUGUCUCAAAAGAGAGAGAGAAAAAAAAAAAAGUAAGGUUUUACACUUACUAAAGCUCAUGCGGAUGCCUGAGAAAGGCACUAGGUGGGAGUGGAUGGACAGCGAUUCUGGAGGGGACACAGGGGGACAUUGGUGGUUCGCACCUGUCAUCCCAGCACCCUGCGUGGUCGAGGUGGGAGGAUCACCGAAAAUUCUAGGCCAGCCUGAACUACAGAGCGAGACCCCCGUCGCAAAAAACAAUGAAAAAGAAAAAUGACAGGUGUGGGUGAGAAUGUGAAGACAUUGGGAACUGUGGACCCUAGUAAUUGCUGAUAGGAAAUCAAAGGCGGAAACUGGUGUGCAAAACUAGUGUGGUUCUUCAGCAUGUUAAACAGUUAUACAAGACCCAGUGAUUGCACUCACAGGUAUACACCCAAGAGAACAGAAAAAGCUCUCAGAUACACACUUGUACACCAGCGCUCACAGCAACACUAUCCAGGAUAAUCACAAGGUGGGGGCUAGGGUGUAGCUCAGGGGUCGAGCACUUGCCUCGCAUGGGAGCCCCUGGGUUCCAUCCUGGUAGCUAAAAGAAUUUAGAAAACCCAAGUAUUCAUCAACAGAGGAAUGGAUAAACAUCAUUUUGGUAAAUCAAUACAAUGACAUUUCAUUACAGAAGAAAGGUACUGCACAUUACAAUGUGGAUAAAUUAUUUUUUAAGUACAUUUGCCAUAUAUAAUGAAUACAUUCCUUGUGGGGGAUUGGUGCAUGUACAUAGAUCACACCUUGAUCCUUUUUUAUUUCCUCCUCUUCCUUGUUCCUCUCUUCUAUCCCUAGAUCCCUUUCCCAAAAGGUCUACCUCCCUUUUCCCUACUGCCUUUUAUUUUGUACUUUUUUUGUCUUUUUCCUUUUUAUCGGUACCGGGGAUCCAACUCAUGACUGCCUGCUUGCAAGGCAGGCGCUUAUGCCACUGAGCUAAAUCUCCAGCCCCUUUUGUAUUUUAUUUUAUUGAGACAGGGUCUUGGUAUGUUCCCCAGGCUGGCUCAAACUCAUGAUGAUCCUCGGGCCUCAGCUCCAGAGUGCUGAGAUUACAUGCAUGUGCCACCACACACCAUUUAUUUUGCUUUUUAAAUCAUUUACACUGUGAGUUUCUCAUGUAAGAGAAACCAUGUGAUAGUUAACCUGGGUCUUAUUUAUUUUUCUUAGUAUUAUGGUCUCAAGCUGCAUCCAUUCUCCUACAGAUGAUUCAAGUUUAAACCUUCCCGCUGAAUGGUGUGCCAUUGUGCCCAGUCACACAUAUGCAGGACCGGUUCAUUUGUCAGUAGACACAUAUGUCUUUGCGACACAGGCGAAUCUUGAAGACAAGAUGCUCUGUGAAAGAAGCCAGACUCAGAAGUCCAUUUGUAUGAAAUGUCUUCUCCUAGCAAAUUGAUACAGAAAGUAAAUCAGUGGUUUCCAGGGACAGGAGGGAGGUGAGAAUGGGUAAUAACUGCUAAUGGGUAUGAGGUCUUUGGGGGAGUGUGUGGUCACAUGGUGGUGAUUGUUGCACAGCCCUGGGCAUACACUAAAAACCUCCAAAUGGAAUCUCUGGAAAAGGUGAACUUUAUAACAUGGAAGUAAUCUCUCAAUAAAAUUGUUAUUGGGCUGGG